rnacentral:rRNA from 1 species
CAGUCGCCACGGGAAUACGAAGGGUGCAAGCGUUACUCGGAAUUACUGGGCGUAAAGCGUGCGUAGGUGGUGGUUUAAGUCCGUUGUGAAAGCCCUGGGCUCAACCUGGGAAUUGCAGUGGAUACUGGGUCACUAGAGUGUGGUAGAGGAUAGUGGAAUUUCCGGUGUAGCAGUGAAAUGCGUAGAGAUCGGAAGGAACAUCUGUGGCGAAGGCGACUAUCUGGGCCAACACUGACACUGAGGCACGAAAGCGUGGGGAGCAAGCAGGAUUAGAGACCCCCGUAGUCCCUGUCUCUUAUAC